rnacentral:misc_RNA from 1 species
GAUGAAGAACGUAGCGAAAUGCGAUAAGUAAUGUGAAUUGCAGAAUUCAGUGAAUCAUCGAAUCUUUGAACGCACAUUGCGCCCGCCAGUAUUCUGGCGGGCAUACCUGUUCGAGCGUCAUUUCAACCAUCAAGCCCCCGGCUUGUGUUGGGGACCUGCGGCUGCCGCAGGCCCUGAAAAGCAGUGGCGGGCUCGCUGUCACACCGAGCGUAGUAGCAUACAUCUCGCUCUGGGCGUGCUGCGGGUUCCGGCCGUUAAACCACCUUCAUAACCCAAGGUUGACCUCGGAUCAGGUAGGAAGACCCGCUGAACUUAAGCAUAUCAAUAAGCGGAGGA